AGGACGACGCUGGCGGCGUGCCUAAUACAUGCAAGUCGAACGCCUCUUUUCCCACCGGAGCUUGCUCCACCGGGAAAAGAGGAGUGGCGAACGGGUGAGUAACACGUGGGUAACCUGCCCAUCAGAAGGGGAUAACACUUGGAAACAGGUGCUAAUACCGUAUAACAAUCGAAACCGCAUGGUUUCGUUUUGAAAGGCGCUUUACGGUGCCGCUGAUGGAUGGACCCGCGGUGCAUUAGCUAGUUGGUGAGGUAACGGCUCACCAAGGCCACGAUGCAUAGCCGACCUGAGAGGGUGAUCGGCCACAUUGGGACUGAGACACGGCCCAA
rnacentral:rRNA from 1 species